CACCGCGGUUAUACGAUGAGCCCAAGCUGACAGCCACACGGCGUAAAGGGUGGUUAAGAACUUACUAACAUAGAGCCGAACAUCUUCUUAGCUGUAAUACGCUCCCGAAGACAUGAAGUCCAACCACGAAAGUAGCUUUAUAACUUCUGAAACCACGAAAACUGGGGAA
rnacentral:rRNA from 1 species